GACGAACGCUGGCGGCAUGCCUAUUACAUGCAAGUCGAACGAGAUCUACGGAUCUAGUGGCGCACGGGUGCGUAACGCGUGGGAAUCUACCCUUGGGUUCGGAAUAACUUCGGGAAACUGAAGCUAAUACCGGAUGAUGACGUAAGUCCAGAGAUUUAUCGCCCAGGGAUGAGCCCGCGUAGGAUUAGCUAGUUGGUGGGGUAAAGGCCUACCAAGGCGACGAUCCUUAGCUGGUCUGAGAGGAUGAUCAGCCACACUGGGACUGAGACACGGCCCAGACUCCUACGGGAGGCAGCAGUAGGGAAUAUUGGACAAUGGGUGCAAGCCUGAUCCAGCAAUGCCGCGUGAGUGAUGAAGGCCUUAGGGUUGUAAAGCUCUUUUACCCGAGAUGAUAAUGACAGUAUCGGGAGAAUAAGCCCCGGCUAACUCCGUGCCAGCCGCCGCCGUAACAC
rnacentral:rRNA from 1 species